GCAGCGUCCUCAAGAUUCACA
rnacentral:miRNA from 1 species